rnacentral:rRNA from 1 species
AUUGAACGCUGGCGGCAGGCUUAACACAUGCAAGUCGAGCGGGGUGAUGGUGCUUGCACUAUCACUUAGCGGCGGACGGGUGAGUAAUGCUUAGGAAUCUGCCUAUUAGUGGGGGACAACAUCUCGAAAGGGAUGCUAAUACCGCAUACGUCCUACGGGAGAAAGCAGGGGAUCACUUGUGAUCUUGCGCUAAUAGACGAGCGUAGGUCGGAUUAGCCAGUGGGUGGGGUAAAGGCCUACCAAGGCGACGAUCUGUAGCGGGUCUGGGAGGAUGAUCCGCCACACUGGGACUGAGACACGGCCCAGACUCCUACGGGAGGCAGCAGUGGGGAAUAUUGGACAAUGGGGGGAACCCUGAUCCAGCCAUGCCGCGUGUGUGAAGAAGGCCUUAUGGUUGUAAAGCACUUUAAGCGAGGAGGAGGCUCUUUUGGUUAAUACCCAAGAUGAGUGGACGUUACUCGCAGAAUAAGCACCGGCUAACUCCGUGCCAGCCGCCGCCGUAA